CCUACGGGAGGCUGCAGUGAGGAAUAUUGGUCAAUGGCCGGAAGGCUGAACCAGCCAAGCCGCGUGAGGGAGUAAGGCGCAGAGCGUCGUAGACCUCUUUUGCCGGGGGACAAAAGCCCGGACUCGUCCGGUCCCGAGGAUUCCCGGAGAAAAAGCAUUGGCUAACUCCGUGCCAGCCGCCGCGGUAAUACGGAGGAUGCGAGCGUUAUCCGGAUUUUUUGGGUUGAAAGGGUGCGCAGGCGGGCCUUUAAGCCAGCGGUAAAAACGCGGGGCUCAACCCCGCCCCGCCGUUGAAACUGGGGGCCUUGAGUGGGAGGGAGGCAGGCGGAAUGCGCGGUGUAGCGGUGAAAUGCAUAGAUAUCGCGCAGAACCCCGAUUGCGAAGGCAGCGUGCCGGGGCGCCACUGACGCUGAGGCACGAAAGCGCGGGGAUCGAACAGGAUUAGAUACCCCUGUAGUC
rnacentral:rRNA from 1 species